ACGAACGCUGGCGGCGUGCUUAACACCUGCAAGUCGAACGGAAAGGCCCUGCUUUUGUGGGGUGCUCGAGUGGCGAACGGGUGAGUAACACGUGAGUAACCUGCCCUUGACUUUGGGAUAACUUCAGGAAACUGGGGCUAAUACCGGAUAGGAGCUCCUGCUGCAUGGUGGGGGUUGGAAAGUUUUGGCGGUUGGGGAUGGACUCGCGGCUUAUCAGCUUGUUGGUGGGGUAGUGGCUUACCAAGGCUUUGACGGGUAGCCGGCCUGAGAGGGUGACCGGCCACAUUGGGACUGAGAUACGGCCCAGACUCCUACGGGAGGCAGCAGUGGGGAAUAUUGCACAAUGGGCGGAAGCCUGAUGCAGCAACGCCGCGUGCGGGAUGACGGCCUUCGGGUUGUAAACCGCUUUCGCCUGUGACGAAGCGUGAGUGACGGUAAUGGGUAAAGAAGCACCGGCUAACUACGUG
rnacentral:rRNA from 1 species